AUGGCGGAGCCGGAGGACGGCGGCCAGGUCGCCCCUCCUGAGGCGGCGGUGGCGGCGACGAGCGCGGCCGCCCAUUCGUCUCCCCCUGCUAAGGAGGAGCCGGCGGCAGCGGCAGAGGCAAAGCCGGCCAGCUCCGGCGAGGCGGUCUCCCUCAACUAUGAGGAAGCGAGAGCUCUCUUGGGAAGGCUGGAAUUUCAGAAAGGCAAUGUAGAAGAUGCACUUUGUGUGUUUGAUGGAAUAGACCUUCAAGCUGCCAUUGAGCGCUUCCAGCCAUCAUCCUCGAAGAAAACAACAGAAGCUACUCUUGUUCUUGAAGCCAUUUACUUGAAAGCAUUGUCCCUUCAGAAGCUAGGAAAAUCAAUGGAGGCCGCUAAACAAUGCAAAAGCGUCAUCGAUUCUGUUGAAAGUAUGUUCAAGAAUGGCACUCCUGACAUCGAACAGAAGCUACAAGAAACUAUCAAUAAAUCUGUGGAACUUCUCCCAGAGGCCUGGAAAAAAGCCGGUUCUCUUCAGGAAACAUUUGCUUCGUACAGACGCGCUCUUCUCAGCCCGUGGAACCUCGAUGAGGAAUGCAUCGCAAGGAUUCAAAAGAGAUUUGCUGCUUUCUUGUUGUAUGGUUGUGUGGAGUGGAGUCCGCCCAGCUCUGGUUCACCAGCUGAAGGCACUUUUGUUCCCAAGACCAAUAUUGAGGAAGCUAUUCUACUCCUCACAGUAGUAUUGAAGAACUUUUAUCAGGGAAAGACCCACUGGGAUCCCUCGGUGAUGGAACACUUGACCUACGCAUUGUCGAUUUGCAGCCAGCCUUCUCUUAUUGCAAAUCAUCUGGAGGAGGUUCUACCCGGGAUAUAUCCUCGGACGGAGAGAUGGAGCACACUAGCAUUUUGCUACUAUGGUGUUGGUCAGAAAGAAGUCGCUCUGAAUUUCUUGAGGAAGUCCUUGAAUAAGCAUGAGAACCCAAAAGAUACAAUGGCAUUGCUGUUAGCCGCCAAGAUAUGCAGCGAGGACUGCCGUCUUGCUUCCGAGGGUGUCGAGUAUGCACGAAGAGCGAUUGCAAACACGGAAUCGUUAGAUGUUCAACUGAAGAGCACCGGCCUCCAUUUCUUGGGGAGUUGCCUGAGUAAGAAGGCUAAGGUUGUUUCAUCCGAUCAUCAAAGAGCUAUGUUGCACGCAGAAACUAUGAAGUCGCUUACGGAGUCGAUGUCUCUUGACCGCUACAACCCAAACCUAAUAUUCGACAUGGGAGUUCAAUACGCUGAGCAGCGGAACAUGAAUGCCGCGCUGAGAUGUGCCAAAGAGUUUGUCGACGCAACCGGUGGAGCGGUCUCGAAAGGUUGGAGGUUUCUAGCACUAGUCCUCUCCGCACAGCAAAGAUACUCCGAAGCAGAAGUGGCGACCAAUGCCGCGUUAGACGAGACCGCAAAGUGGGAUCAAGGGUCACUGCUCAGGAUAAAGGCUAAGCUGAAGGUCGCUCAAUCAUCGCCCAUGGAAGCGGUGGAGGCAUACCGGGUCCUUCUUGCUCUUGUUCAUGCCCAGAAGAAUUCGCCUAAAAAAGUGGAGGGAGAGGCUGGUGGAGUAACCGAGUUCGAAAUCUGGCAAGGUCUUGCAAAUCUGUACUCCAGCCUCUCACACUGCAAGGACGCCGAGGUAUGUUUGCAGAAAGCCAGGGCCCUGAAAUCAUACUCCGCCGCGACACUCGAAGCCGAAGGUUACAUGCACGAGGUGCGCAACGAGAGCAAGGAGGCGAUGGCGGCCUACGUGAACGCCUCGGCGACGGAGCUGGAGCAUGUGUCGUCCAAGGUGGCCAUAGGGGCGCUGCUCUCCAAGCAGGGGGGCAAGUACCUCCCGGCGGCGAGGGCCUUCCUCUCAGACGCCCUGAGAGUCGAGCCGACGAACCGGAUGGCGUGGCUCAACCUGGGGAAGGUGCACAAGCUCGACGGGAGGAUUUCCGACGCCGCCGACUGCUUCCAGGCAGCGGUGAUGCUCGAGGAGUCAGAUCCCGUGGAGAGUUUUAAGACGCUCUCAUGA
rnacentral:rRNA from 1 species